UCAAAUACACAAAAUUACAUACUUUUCAUAAUAAAAUUUUGCUCUCACUUUUCUCUCUAAAAAAAUACACACAGAAAAUAAAAAUAUAUAUGCAUACACUAUACAGAAACACAUAGCAUAGAUAAAGACAUAUACACAACUAUCAGAUCUCUCUUACUACUUUCCUUUCCUACGACAAACAACAUAUUGAAGACUAAUUCAAUGUAUGACCAAGUCAAAUUCAAGUUGUUCGUAAUUUCCUAUUUUUAUGGACUGUUAGCAGUCAUGAUGCAGUAUAUUUUUAGUUAACAGAUAAUGGAGUUAGUUGCAUAGUUAAGGGAUAGUUGGUAACUUAGUUAGUGGUUUAUUUGUUUUAUAAGUCUAUAUAAAGGCUUAUCUUUAGUUUUUUUAUAUAUACAGAAAAAGCUGUGUUUCAGCAUAUAUUGAGUCCUCUUACUUUCAACCUCUGCUCUUUACGAUUUUUGCAGUCUAUUAUCCCAACAUAACAACCACCACAUAACAACUUUUCAUCAACAACAUCCAGAUCUGGUGCAUCACGCCUCCCAUAAACCCCACGAACCCAAGCAGAAAACCCCCUCCAUUUCACACUGCUUUACCGGAUCUGGCCGCCGGCAGGCGAGUUUUCAGCCACCAAGCGCAUCACGCGCUGCCCCUUCCCCAUUUCCCUUUAUUUGCACUACUUUUUGUCCUUCGGGGAGAGCUCCGGCGAGAUCUCCCCUCGUAGAUUUGCUGCGAUUUUGGCACAAAAAGACCCGCUGCUCCGAAGUUUCACCGCCGUUGAAGUAGCGGUGUUGGCUCAGGAGAGAAUGAAAGGUACCACAGACAGAUCAUCGAGAAGUUUCAUUUGCCAUUGGUGAUUGGGUAUAUGUGCGACCUUGACUCUAACGUCAGCUAUCUUUACGCUUGCAGUGACACACAAAGCUCAGUAGAAGAUUACUCCACUUGAGCUUCUGGAUCAAUCAUCUUUUUGGUUCUUCUCCCGGAAGAUGUCAUCCAAACUAGGACUAUUUCAAGAGGUGGUCACCAAGUUCAUCAAUGCCUUACAAAGUUGAUGCGUCUUCCAUCAACAGAUGCAUCUUGGGAGGAUACUCAUACAUUGCUGCAACGAUUUCAGAUCAGUGCCUUUUGGACAAGAUUCGUCUCCACGGGGGCGGCAUUGUAAGAAAAAUAGAGGACAAGUCAGAGGAUCCUAGCCAAAGCACCAGGGAUAAAAGUAGCCCAAGCACCUGGAACAAUAGGAGCUCCCAAAUCCCAAAAGAAAUUCUUGUCUGCCAAGUUACUAGUAGAAAGGACAAGAAGCAUCCUUGCACCAGAUGACAUAAAUAGACCAAGAAGAAGCUAGAAUAGGGCAUGGAAGAACUUGUUCUUUAUUUUUCUUAGUCAUUUUAUAGAUCUGGAACAUCCCUUUUCUAUCUUUUUUUCCUUAUUUUACUGCUUUCUCUAAAAGUUUGAGUGAUAUUGCAUUGUAAUUUCUAAAUUUUGCAUUGUAAUUUCCCAAUUUGGAUGGAUAUCAGUCCA